rnacentral:rRNA from 1 species
GGAGAAGUUAGGAAGGGCACACGGUGGAUGCCUUGGCGCCAGGAGCCGAUGAAGGACGGGGCGAACUCCGAUAUGCCCCGGGGAGCCGUAAGCAGGCGUUGAUCCGGGGAUUUCCGAAUGGGGCAACCCGCCAGCGUAAACCGCUGGCACUCCCACCUGAACACAUAGGGUGGGCAGAGGCAGACCGGGGGAACUGAAACAUCUUAGUACCCCGAGGAGAAGAAAGCAAACGCGAUUCCCCGAGUAGCGGCGAGCGAAACGGGAUUAGCCCAAACCGCAAGGGUCUCCCUUGCGGGGUUGUGGGGCGUCCUAUAUGGAGUUACAAAAGUGGAAGGUAGGCGAAGUGGCCUGGAACGGCCCGCCGCAGAGGGUAACAGCCC